ACGUUGAAAGUGUUGGGGGCCAGGUGAAAUGUCGGAGGAGAACAGGAUGGAGAUAAAAGAUGGAGAUGGAAUGCCAGCUCUGGUGUCACUGGUCCAAGAUGGUUCCUUUUUGGUACAAGAGUUGUCAGCCCCUUCGAGACGGACGGUGCUCCCAAAAGUGCUUUCAGUUUGGGCCCUACAAACAGCUCUACUGUAUAUAUCAUCAGAACAAGGGGACUGCACUUGACUGUAACUGA